AUCUCUUUCUCUCGUCUCUCUCUCUCAUAGCUCCCUCAUCUCUCUUCUCUGCAGCAACCCGCACGCACGCACCCGUCUCCCCCGCGCGAAGAAGACCCAUCUCCUUCUUCUCUCUCCCUCUGUCCCGUGCUGCGAGCCCAGAAACCGGAGAGGAACUCCGGCGAAACCUUUAUUUUUCCCGGUUGGGACGAAUCGAAGCCGGGUGUAAGCACACCCAACUCCGGCGAUCCCGAGGGUGUCGGGGCUUUUUCCGGCCAUCUCCGGUCGUUCCACGACGAAAGGAAGGACCUACGAACGAGGAUUACGAUAUAAGCUACGAGGCCUUUCCCUACCAGUGAUCCAGUGCUAUACUUCUUCUGCUUCGACAUCUUUUGUAAUAUAGCACAUCUCUAUCUUAUAUUCUGUUUGUACUCUGUAAUAGACGUAUGCUCUGACAUUUUGCAUGGAUCCUAAUGUUGUUAAUUAGAAGUUGAUUUGGUAGUAUUAUUGUGGCUAGUCUUGCUGCCUGUUUUAGCUUAUUUAUGAGUUUUUACUUAAAUUAAUGGCUUUCGUCACCCUUUGGGUGUCGGCCAGCACGUGAUCAUCCCGAUGUCACGAGGACAUCGGGAUCGGGGC